GCUCAAAUUUUUCAACAAAAAUGCAUCACUCACGUGUCAAACUGUGAAGAAAGCCAAAUAAAAAGGAAACUUGUAAAUAAUGAAGACAGAAAGGACUCGAAAACAAACACGAAAAUUAAGAAAAAAAGAAAGAAAGAAAAGAGUGCCAAUUAUGAUUCUCUUCACGUCACGGUAACGUGAACGGAGAAGUCUCCGUUCAGUGGCCUCUUGACUGCCCAUAUCGCUCGUUUCGGCUCCACCAUUAUUGAGUCUGCUGCUGCUGCUAGUACUACCAGCAGCAGCAGGAUGGGGAGUAAUGUGGGGUUCGCGUUUGACGGGUCGGGUCAUGGAGGUGGGGUUUUGUUAGAAAGAAUUGGGAAUUGUUAGGGUUUGAAAUUAAGAUGGAAAGAGAUUUAAAUUUAAUUGUUAGGAUUUUCGGGGAGAAAUGUCAAGAGUCUAUUUUCUUUCGCUCCUUUUUUAUUUGCGCUGCGCGGUUUCUUAACAAUUAGGAAUUCUUCUGCUUUUAGCCAUGGAGAAGCGUCCUCAAUACGGAUCGGGACACGUGCGACUUUUGGAGGGCACGAGCGGAAAUAAACGGUUGCUGAAGCGAUUCUAAAACUGGGCCUUUUGCAAAAAGGAGAUGGGUCUUUAGGACUUCAUGUAUUGGCCCGUGAGACUAGAAUAGAUUUUAUAAACCGAGGGUCAAAAUGUACAAUUUCCAUUUUAGAGGAGCAGUUUUAUAAAAUUUUCCUAGAAAUUUUAUAAGUAUGCGGAGGAUUUUGCAAAAUUUUCAAACUUCAUCAGAGUUGAGUUUUUUUUUUUUAUUAUUUUAUUUGAGUACACUCAAUUAAUCUUAAAAGUGUUAAAAGGGAAUAAUUAUAUAAAUAUUUAAUGAUUAUAAAAUUUAUAAUUUUUAAUAAUUUUUAAAAAUUAAAUUUAAAAUUUAAACAAUCACAAUUCCUCUAAAUUAUUUGAGGAUUUGAACUUUAAAUUGUGGGUUCCUGCGUUUUUAAGUUUUUAAGUUAUUGAUACUAUAUUUGUUUGAUGUAUUAAUUUUUUUUAAGACUUUCUUAUUCUCUUUCUUUCUCUAUCUCUCUUUUUUUCCCCUUUUCUUCGCUUACUUUUUUUUCUAAUUUACUCUUCAUGUAUUCCUUGAUUGCAGGAAUCGACUACUAUUCAAAGAUAAAAUUUCCCAGAGGGAACCUGCUGGCGGAACACUUAUUAGACCCGUUAUAGUAUUUAUCCGAUUUAAAUGCGUGAUGGUAAUGCGGUAUUUUAUAAAACUGUUUUUAAAUUAAAAAUAUAUUAAAAUAGUAUUUUUUAUAUUUUUUAUUUUUAACAUAAACCCAUUAAAACAUUUAAAGAAAAUAAAACAAAUUAAUUUAAUAUUUUCUAAACAAAAAAAACAAUUUUUUUUAAACUUAAUCACCUAAAUAAACAUUCCCUAUAACCUCCGGUCAAUUUGGAUCUACAAUAUUAUUUUAAUAUUUUUUAAAAAAAAUAGUGCAUUUUAGUUUUUUUUUAAUAAAAGGAUAUUAUUUUUUAAUUAUAAAUAAACUAAAAUAAUAUUAUUUUAAAUAAAAAUUUAAAAAACAAAUUGAUUGGACUUGGAGUUGAUAAAAUCGGUGAGGGCAUGUAGGCUUGUCUGAAACAGUAUCCAAUCUAACUUAGACAAAAUUUCGGUAGAGUGAGUUCUAAACUUGUUUUGUUUUUAAUUAUUUUUUUAUUUUAAAUUAAAUUUUUUUAUAAAUUAAUAUUAAAAUAAAUUUUAAAAAUAAAUAAAAUAUUAUUUUAAUUCCUUUUCAAAUAAAAAUUAUUUUUAAAAUAAACUCUAUCAAAUUUACAAUCAUUCUUUUCAGAUAAAUAGAUCACAAAAUCCACGUGCUAGGUCUGGAGAGUUUAACAUCCAUUUCUGGGAGUUCAAUCGAGUAUUUCAGUAGAGACAAAACCUAUAAUAUUUCAAAAUUUCAAAAUAUUUCCUAUAGUUUAACAUAAACGCUCCGAUCAAUAACAUAAACAACGUUUUCCGAAAUUUCAAAAUAUUUCCUUUUCUUUCGAAAAUUAAUAAUCCUUUUAAACGGCAAAAUUACACCCCAAACAGGAGCUCCCAAGUGUAGCCGCAACUUCCCUAUAGUAUUUCUCCAAUCCAGCCAGCCAAGAUGUCAAAAUCCUUCCCAAUCAAAUCAAAAACCCUAAAAUUGAACCUUUUUAUAAUCACUUCACUAUAUAAAUCACCCAAUCUUCACUGAUCAUUGAUAAAUCACUAUUAAACCUUGAGCUCAAGAAACAAGAAAUGAAAGCCUCACUAAAAUUCCGGGAAGAGCAAAACCCGGUAUUUAGAGCCAAAGUGCCACUUAACAUCUUGGGUUUACCAUUUCAAUCAGGAAUUAUAGCCGGCGAAUCCAAAGAACUUUCUUUAAAUCUCUCCACUUUCUUCCAAUCUGGACCCUCCAUCAAAAUCGCUUACCGUCCUAAUGACACGUGGAACCCCUUCUCCCUCGUUAUCAAAACCGGAACCGGUCACUUCGGUUCUCCGGUUUCUAGCUCCAUGAUUAUGAGUGCGGAGUUCAAUCUAUUGAGUAAAGGUAAUAGUAAUUUAAACCCUAGCUUUAUGCUCCACUUCAAGCCUCAAUUUGGGGAUUUUUCGAUUAAGAAGUCGCAGUCGUCGACUCACGUGAGUCAUCUGACGGGGUCGAUUCUGAACGGCGGCGCUUCGUCUGAUGAUCAUGGGUCGAUUGAGGCCGUUGAGGCUGCGACUCCGACUCCGGAUGUGGUUGAUGGCGUGUUUUGUGGGAAGAGGAUUACGGUUUUGCCACCGGUGACGGCGAGUGCGGUUGCGGGAUUGUUUUCUGGUGUGGAGGUUACGGCGAAGACGAGGCUUCCAGUGAGGAGCAAGGCGGUGGUGAGUUUCCGGUGGGGAGUUCGGGUUCCGGCUGAAAUUAAGAGUGGCGGUGAAUCAACGGCUGGGAUUAAUUUUAGGACGAUACCGGUCUUUGUGAUGAAUAAGAUUGGAAUUGAACACGUGGAUGGUAGAGAUGAGAGGAGUAAGAAGGCGGGGGCGACAGGGAAGGUGGAGAUGGAUUCGGGGAAUGCUGAGGUGGCAGAGGCGUGUUUGGGUGUGAAAGGCAAUUAGAGGUUUUGCAGCGAGAACGGGCAUUUGAGGAAAGCAGUGGAGGAAUUGAGUGAAGAAAUUGGCGGAGGGAAAUUAUUAGUUGGGGAUUUGGAUUCUGGAAAAUACGAGAGAAAUGGAAUUAAAAGCCCCGAGUAGAAGGAGGAGAAACAAUGAGAGGAAGAAAUCAAUGGAAGGAGAUUGAAGAAGAAGGCAUCUAAUGGAACAGCUACUAGUGGUAAUUGUCCUGAAAUUACUGGAUAGUUAUAAUUUGGUGCUUAAUACAUUAAGUUUUUUUUUUUCAUAUCAAUUUUUCAGUUUAUUUAGGGUCUUAUGAACUAUGUUUUUUUGGGUUUUGGUUGGUUUAGUCAUGUAAGAUAAAGAUGUAAAUUAAUUAAAAUCAAUUGGGUUAUUAGUGUUUUGGAUAAGGAAUUCGAAAUUAACUGUAAGUUUAAUUUUUUUUUGUUGGUAGUAUUGUUAAGGGGAUGUUGGGAGAGUUGUAGGAAUUGAUUUUAAAAUUAUUUUUUAUUUAGAAAUGUAAUAAAAUGAUAUUUUUUUAAAAUUUUUAAAUAUAUCAAAAUAAUUUAAAAAUAUAAAAAAUUAUUGAUUUUAAAUAAAAAUAAGUAAAUUUUGCUCAAUUUCUAAAAGAUUUAUUUUUAUAUGAAUCCCCUGAUUGGCGCAUUCAACAUUUUGAUUUAUCAGAGAAAUGAAAGUUGGAGCUUUAAUUUUGUUUUUUACUACUCUCAUUUAACCAUAAUGUUUUAAAAUCACUACGCCAUUUGUUAAAUCUCUUAAUAUUAGGGGUGAGUAUUUUCAUACAGAUUGAUUUUGGUUUGGUUUGCUUCGUGCUGCUAAAAAACCAGCAAAUCUGAAAAAAUGACUUAUCAGACAUCAUCAAGAACAGCAGAAACUAGUUCUCGGCAUCUGAAUCAAUGAACCUUUUGUAAACAUCAAGCAAAUGAAAGGUCUCGUAUCAAUGUUUGAAUGAAUUUUUAAAAAUAGCACUCACUAGAUAGAUACUUCACCGUGAUUUGUUGCAGAUUAAUUUUUUUUUAUUUAAUAAAAAAAUUAUAUACACAUGUUUUUUUGAUAUAUUUUUGUAAUUUAAAAAAUUGUAAGUCAAAAUUCAAAAAGCUUAUACAGAACUAUCUGGUUCUUAUACAUAGGAUCUCCAAUUGCAGGUUCUGCUGUUGAAAAGCUGCAGGAAAUUACUGGUUAUGUAAGCAUAGGCUACCCUUUUGGCUUAACUGCUUCAAUUUUGUUUGCGCGACACUCUGAAAUGGAAGGACAUAAUUAUGAUGCUCAGAUGGUGGAUUUAAUUCUGGGUUUCCUUGCAUCUUUGAAGGGAUCAACAGCCUAACCAACCAAAACUUUUGCACCACUAACUUGUAGAAUCAGCUGAGACAUAACCAAGUCAAAGUAAGGUAUUGAGAUUGAACAAUCAUAAAGAAAAUCGUAUGGAUAGAUGAUCCUGUGUAUCAAUCUGCAUUGCUUAAACAUGAAUGGAGAACAUCAUGUUUAGAUCCAAUCCCCUUUUGCCUUCACGUUGACAUUGGUUAAUUUUCAUUUUGCUUACAUUUUGAUCUUCAGGAUUGGCGCAUUUAGGUUUGAUUCCAGAAGAAGAAUUUGGGAUAUAGCAUUGAUCAAGGAAAAGCGAGGAAACCGAAACAGUUAGUUAUCAUCACGAACAAGUUUUCACACUUUAGUAUGUCAUCCACGCUAUGUAUACUGUGGAAAACUUACAUGGUGUUUUUUUUUUUUUUGCUUUUCUGGAAUGAGUGUAUGUAUCAACUUUCCGAGAUAUCUCCUGUCUGAUUGUUAGGGUUUAUGAAGUAAGUUUUUCCAGGCAUCAUUGUUUGGUUUAGUCAUGUGAAACGUUGGUGCUAUUACUUAAAUGCAUCAGCAUGUAUUUGGACUACAGAAAUGAAAGUUCAGGUGAACAAGUUCAAGCUAUCUCGUCAGAAUUACUCCAUGUUUCGUGGAAUCUUUCAAUGAUUUGAAGCAAUAUCGGACAUCAAUGCAGGGCCCACAUGCAUACAUCAUAUGUGUACCGGAGCCCACGAAAAUAUUGAUUACACACAGCAAAGUUGUACAGAUCAUGUGCCCAUCGUUUCCAUGAAAGAAUCAGUUGGUUUCCGUGAUAUUAUUACUUUUUUUACCUGGAUAAUUCUAUGCAGGUUUUGUCAAGAAAAAAAUUAUAAUUGGCACAACUAUAAAAUAGAGUUGAGAUGUUAACAUGCACUGACUCAAAUGUUUGAUCUCUUCAAUUAUUCUCUCUUUUCUAAUUUCACGGACAACGCAAAAACUAGGUACCAUGAAUUAAUUAUCAACAAUGAUACUUUGCUCUUCUUCAUUUUAUUCUAAAAUCUCUGUUGCCGAAUCGCCAUAUUCUAUACUACAAUUCACGUGAGCAACAAAGUCACAGUCUGGGCAAUAGUAAACUCCAUGUUCUGUGUCAACUUCCCGGGGGCAAAUUUCACAGUGCUUCUUUAUAGAUUUGAUACAUUGUUGAGGAUAGGGGUGAGUAAAAAAACCGAGAAACCGAGAAACCGAGAAAAUCGAGAAAAAAAUAACCGAAAAAAAAACCGAUUAAACCGAUUAAAAUUUAAAAAAAACCGACCAGUUCGGUUAGGUAUCGGUUUUAGGCUUAUAAAACCGAAAAAACCGAACCGAAAAAAUAACCGGAAAAAACCGAGCCAAACCCGGAAAAACCGAGCCAAAACCGGAAAAAAAUGAGCCAAAAACGAAAAACCGAGCCAAACUGAACCAAACCGGUUUUCCCCCUAAAAAACCGAACCGAAACCGGUCGGUUCGAACCGGUUUUGGUUCGGUUUCAGUUUUUUUUUAAAAAAAAAAAAUUCAGUUUGAUUAUUUUUUUUUAUAAAAACCGAACCGACCUGGUUUUGCUGACCCCUAGUUGAGGAUGAUAGGUGUGGAUGAUGGUGCAGUACCGUUUGAAGGGUGCGUGGCAGUGAAAUGCAUUUUCUGUGGACCACGAAUUGACACAUGGUGCACAUGAAAGGCGAGUACUCAUCUCCAUCUGUGUCGCAUGCAUUGCAAGUGAAGGAGAUUAAUUUGAGUGAAAGUGGAUUCAGGAGGCGUCUAAAUUGAUGUUCAUGCCGCAUGCAUUGCACAUGAACAUCUUGAAGCAGUUUAUCGGAUUCUCAUACACUUGAAAAGCACACCAGACAAGCGCGCAGACAAUAAAAGCAUACACUGAUGCAGAUUGGGCGGGCUCAGUCAUUGAUAGAAGAUCCACAUUAGAAUAUUGUACUUAAGUUUGAGGAAAUAUAGUAACAUGGCAAAGUAAGAAAUAAAAUGUGGUUGCAUGAAGCAGUGCUGAGGUAGAAUACAGGGUUAUGAUAAUGAAGUUUGUGAAAUGUUAUGGCUAAAGAGAAUUCUUGAAGAACUGUGAAUGCCUGUGAAUAUGUCAACAUUAACCAAGCUCCCGUUUCUUGUUUUUCUACCCUAGAGAUCCAAUCUUUAUUUUGAUUUUCUAAUUUGUGGCCUUUCUGAUUUGGUGAUCUCCUCUACUAUUUAUCUUGUAACCAUAUCUAUUGAAUGAAUAAGAAAUAAGAUUAUUCUUCAUCUUCCAAAAACCUACACACACAACGCAGUAAUAGAAGAAAAAGAAGAAGAAGAAGAAGAAGAAGAAUUCUUCAUGGAUUCGUGCAUCGGUGAGUCUGAAAGUCAUGUGUAAACGCCCAUUACCUUGAUAUAUGAGUGUUUCCUAAGAGCAAAUUCUGGAUGAGAAUCAAAGUCAUAUUUCUCAAACGAUAGAACCAGAGGUUUAUGAUUUUCACAAAUUUGACAGACAAAUUGGUAGUCAUUUGGAUCAUUACAGGUGAGAAAGAGAGGAUGGUCAUCGUACAUGUUUCUAGCUUUACAUGGCAGAGUAGCCCAUUUAUUACAGGUUUUUUUAAAAUAUUUUUUAUUUUAAAAUAUAUUAAAAUAAUAUAUUUUUUUAUUUUUUUAAAAUUAUUUUUAAUAUUACUAUAUCAAACUAUUUGAAAAUAUAUAUAAAAAUAAUUUACUAUAAAUUUUUUUUUAAAAAAAAUUAUUUUUAAAACAUAAAAAUAUAUAAAAAUCUUAGAAUAUUGAUAGUAGUAUGCAAAGGUUGGAGAUUUUUAAUUAAAUAUCUAUAAGUUUAAAGCGAAAAUAAUUUGAUAACAAUUUGAAUUUGAGACAAGAUUGAUAUAUAUUAUAUAUUUUUUAAAAUAAUAAAGGGUAUAAUUUUUUUUUUAUCUCAAUCUAACUCAAAUUUUAUUAGUCAUUUAAAAUCAGUAAGACUUUCAAAUAAAACCACAAAAAUUAUCUAGACUUGUAAUGUUUUAUUAGUUGAUUUAUAGUUUUUUUUUCUUAUUUAGUUAAAAAAAUAUAUUUUUUAGGAUUGUUUUAACAUAUAAACACUAUAAUAUUAUAUUUUAAUUAGACAAUUAUGAUUUUUAUGUUGUAAUUUUACUUAACUCUAAUUUUACAUGUUUUUAUGUAAAAGUUCUAAACCGUCUCGCCACUGAAUUAUCUUGUCUAACCAAAUAAUCGAAAAGGGAUUUGGGCUCUAAAUCCCUUCUAAAGAAUGUGGAGGCUUAUUCUUAUUCUUUUUAAGAAGAAAAAUACCAAAAAACAUGAAUUAACUUACUCUUCAUUAUAUAUCUUAAAGGAAAAGGCUAUCGGAUGCCCUUGAGGUGUUCUUUUUAAAUAUUAUUUAAAUACAUUUAUUUUCAUCUUUUAUUGUUCAGAAAAAAAGAGAGAGAGAAAAGUGAUCUUAUAUGCGAAAAUAGAAACAGAGAUAACAAGUAUGAAAGCUAGAUGUAUCCAUCCAUUCACCCAAACAAUCAUAACCCAAAAAUAAGAAAAAAGCCAACAACUGCAAUCCAAUUACCAUAGUGACUGAAAGCAUUGCCCUCUUUCACUGUGGACGAUAAAACUGCAGUUAGUAUUAGUACAUUCAAGGGCCAAGUCGUCGCAAGGCUCACCACAAGUAUCGCAUGCUGCAUAAUCCUCUGUCUAGCAACUGCCAACAAUCAUAACCCAAAAAUAAGAAAAAAAGCCAACAACUGCAAUCCAAUUACUGCUUCAAUAAUCGACGAAAACAUGAAUUUAACUUACCUUUUCCAGUGGACGAUAAAAUCACAGUUAGGAUCAGUACAUUCAAGGGCCAAGUCAUCGCAAGGCUCACCACAAGUAUUGCAUGCUUGUGGACGAUAAUCCUCUGUCUUAACGACCAAAGCAAGAGGGUGAGGGUGUUUAGGAUAUGUUCGAACCCCCCCUUGCUUGACAUAUGGGUAUUUCCCGAGAGCACAUUCAGGAUGAGCAUCGAAGUCGCAUUUCUCACAACGGUAGAACCAGUGCUUCGGGUCUCUAUCCUUUUCACAAAUUAUGCAGGAAGGUUGGUAGUCAUUUGCAUUAAUGUAGGUGAGGAAGAGAGGAUGGUCAUCAUACUCGUGUCUUGCUUUAUAUGGCAGUGUAGCACAUUUCAUACCAAGCUUGAAAUCGCAAACUACACAUUUAAAAAUUACCUUCGAUUCUUCACUAACAAAACAGCCACCACAAUGGAGAAUAUUCUCUCUGUCAUCUGCAAGCAAAGGGUGAAACCCGUGACCUCCAAUAAUACAACGGAGAAUAUUCUUUCUGCCCACUGGAAGAUAAAGGGGAUGCUCAUGACCUCCAUGUUUAAAAGAAUCUUUCAAUGAUUUGAAGCACCGGACAUCAAUGCAGAGUCCACAUAUACCACAACAGUACCUGAGCCCACGAAAAUUUUGCCUACAUACAAAACAGUAGAACAGAUCUUGUUCCCAUCGGUUCCAUGAAAGAAUCAGUUGGUUUUCGUGAUAUUGCCACUUUUUUCGCCUGGGUAAUUCUAUGCAGGUUUUGUCAAGAAAGAAAUUACAACUGGCACAACUAUAAAAUGGAGUUGAGAUUGGUAACAUGCACCCAUCACACUUUAGAUCAUCAUCAACCUUGUCAGUAAGGAUUAGGUUAUGUUGAUGACUGAAAUGCUCGAUCUCUUCAAUUAUUCUCUCCUCUCCAUGCUUGAUCUCACGGACAACGCGAAAGCUAGGUUCCAUGAAUUGAUCAUCAACAGUCACACUUUGCUCUUCUUCGUUUUCUCUACAGUCUCUGUUGCAGAAUCGCCAUAUUCUCUGCUACAAUUCACGUGUGCAACAAAGUCACAGUCUGGGCAAUAGUAAACUCCGUAUUCUGAGUCAACUUCCCGACGGCAAAUUCCACAGUACUUGUUUAUAGAUUCGAUGCAUUGUUGAGGAUAGGUGUGGAUGAUUCGGGGAUGAUGGUGCAGUGCCGUUUUAAGGGUGCGUGGCAAUGAAAUGCAUUCUUCGUGGACCACGAGUUGGCACAUGGUGCACACGAAUGGAGAGUCAUCUCCAUCAGUGCCGCAUGCAUUGCAAGUGAAGGAGAUUGAUUUUAGUGAAAGUGGAUUCAGUAGGCGUCUGAAUUGAUGCCCCUGAUUCUGAUCAGCUGCAUAAACGCACGGUGGAAAAGCACAUUUGAUAUGGAGGUUGAAUUCGCACACAAAACAGCAGUAGACAAAACUCUCAUAGCAAGUUUCGUUGCAAAUCCACAGAUCAUUUCAUGAUUUGGCAGUAGACGAAGAGGGUGUUCUGGAUGCAACUGCCGCUUGAUCUCUGGGGGUAGCUCAGCACACUUCUUGUGAAGAAAGAAGUUGCAAGAAGUGCACCUAUAGCUAGGACCCGACAUUGGUUCCUUACACACACAGCACAUAACUCCUUCACCAUGAUAUUCUUUCUUUUCAUUCAAAAUCAAUGGAUGAUCCUUGUGAGCAAAUUGAUGUGCCUUAUUAUCAACUUCCAAAAAACCCGGUUGAAAAGCACAUUUGAUAUCAAGAUCAAAGCCACAGAAAGAACAAUGGUAAACAAAACUGUUGAAAGUUUUGUAGCACCGAUCACAAAAGCAUUGUCUGUAAUGAUAUGGUGGCUUCGCCAGUAGAUGGAGAGGGUGUCUACGAUGAAUGCGCCGCUUGAUCUCACGGGGCAGCUCGGCGCAUGUCUUAUGAAGAAAGAAGUAGCAAGAGGUGCAACUGUAGCAAGGACCCCAUAUUGGUCCCUCGCAUCCAGAACAAAUAACUAGUUCACAGCUAUAUUCGAGAACUUGAUUAAUGAGGAUCAAUGGAUGAUCUGGGUGGCUAAAAUGUUCAACCUCCAUGUCCUUGGCUCUCUCAGCGGCCAGAGCAGCAGGUACUCAGGGGUCUUGAGUUAAGGCAAGACUUAGGUAGGCCAAACCGAAUCUGCCGAAUAUUUAUGUUUUCGAAAUGGAAAAGAAAAGAAAAGAAAAGUUUAGUCCUCCUAGUAUUCAACUCCUCACCUUCUAACCUGAAAAUUGACCUCUUCUCCGACGACUAAUUAAAUAAAUUCAGCUGCUUACUGCUACAGUACUGAUCAACAAUUGAAAUCACAGAACACAGUGAAUUACCAUAAAGAUGGGAACUUUGUAAAUUGCUGGGGAAGCAUUUUUCUUCCCUCUUCCCCUUUAUCAAAGAUUAUGGCACAGAGAGCCGAAACGAAAAAUAACUCAAAGGACUCAAGAUUCAAAGAAACCCGAAAAGGAAGGAAGCGUGUUACCCGUAAGGAAGAGGCGGGUAGAAGAUCACGAGGAAAGCUACAGGCUCCUCUAAUGUGGGGUUCGCGUUUGACGGGUCGGGUCAUGGAGGUGGGGUUUUGUUAGAAAGAAUUGAGAAUUGUUAGGGUUUGAAAUUAAGAUGGAAAGAGAUUUAAAUUUAAUUGUUAGGAUUUUCGGGGAGAAAUGUCAAGAGUCUAUUUUCUUUCGCUCACUUUUUAUUUGCGUUGCGCGGUUU
rnacentral:lncRNA from 1 species